rnacentral:antisense_RNA from 1 species
AAUGGAAUAUCUCCACUACUAUAAUCAUUUGGUACAUCCUUUGGUUGUUCACUUUG